UACGGGGGGGGCUAGCGUUGUUCGGAAUUACUGGGCGUAAAGGGUCUGUAGGUGGCCAACUAAGUCAGACGUGAAAUCCCUCAGCUUAACUGGGGAACUGCGUCUGAUACUGGUUGGCUUGAGUGCAGGAGAGGAAUGCGGAAUUCCAGGUGUAGCGGUGAAAUGCGUAGAUAUCUGGAGGAACACCGGUGGCGAAGGCGGCAUUCUGGACUGCAACUGACACUGAAAGACGAAAGCCAGGGGAGCAAACGGG
rnacentral:rRNA from 1 species